rnacentral:rRNA from 1 species
GACGAGCGCUGGCGGCGUGCUUAACACAUGCAAGUCGAACGGAAAGGCCCUGCUUUUGUGGGGUGCUCGAGUGGCGAACGGGUGAGUAACACGUGAGUAACCUGCCCUUGACUUUGGGAUAACUUCAGGAAACUGGGGCUAAUACCGGAUAGGAGCUCCUGCUGCAUGGUGGGGGUUGGAAAGUUUCGGCGGUUGGGGAUGGACUCGCGGCUUAUCAGCUUGUUGGUGGGGUAGUGGCUUACCAAGGCUUUGACGGGUAGCCGGCCUGAGAGGGUGACCGGCCACAUUGGGACUGAGAUACGGCCCAGACUCCUACGGGAGGCAGCAGUGGGGAAUAUUGCACAAUGGGCGGAAGCCUGAUGCAGCAACGCCGCGUGCGGGAUGACGGCCUUCGGGUUGUAAACCGCUUUCGCCUGUGACGAAGCGUGAGUGACGGUAAUGGGUAAAGAAGCACCGGCCAACUACGUG